rnacentral:lncRNA from 1 species
UCUUCUGGAUGAAGGCUACUUCUUGAGAAGGUGUGUUCUGUAGCUGGAGACCCUAUUGCUAGUUGAACUGUGUGCUCUAGAGGGACCAAGGAAAUGGAUCACUGAGGAUCAAGCUACUCUACAAACGUGUAUUGAUAUACUACAGGUUCAGAUAAUUCUUCACUUUUUCCCAGGUAAUUGUGCAUUAUUUGAUUUAUUGUAUUGUUAACACCAUUUUCCUCUGUCCUACUUUGUUAGGCCAUAUUUAAGUAAUAUAUGUGCACAUCUGAUAUCAAUCCAAGUGAAGUCUGAAUCCAGAUUUAGAUGUGACCUUCUCCCUAGGAUAUAACUUUUUCUAAUAAAAACUGACUGAAUUAGAAGCA